GUCGACGGGCUCUUCGGAGCAAGUGGCGGACGGGUGAGUAACGCGUGAGAAUGUGCCUUGAGGAUGGGGAUAACAAUAGGAAACUAAUGCUAAGACCCAAUGUGCCUUAAGUGGUGAAAAAUGAAAAUUGCCUGAAGAGGAGCUCGCGUCUGAUUAGCUAGUUGGGGUGGUAAAAGCGCACCAAGGCGACGAUCAGUAGCUGGUCUGAGAGGAUGAGCAGCCACACUGGGACUGAGACACGGCCCAGACUCCUACGGGAGGCAGCAGUGGGGAAUUUUCCGCAAUGGGCGAAAGCCUGACGGAGCAAUACCGCGUGAGGGAGGAAGGCUCUUGGGUUGUAAACCUCAAAACUUAGGGAAGAAAAAAAUGACGGUACCUAAUAUAAGCAUCGGCUAACUCCGUGCCAGCAGCCGCGGUAAUACG
rnacentral:rRNA from 1 species